AGACAGAGGGUGCAAACGUUGCUCGGAAUUACUGGGCGUAAAGCGUACGUAGGCGGCUAAGUAUGUCGGAUGUGAAAGCCCGGGGCCCAACCCCGGAAGUGCAUCCGAAACUGCUAAGCUAGAGUACAGGAGGGGAGAGCGGAAUUCAUGGUGUAGCGGUGAAAUGCGUUGAUAUCAUGAAGAACACCGGUGGCGAAGGCGGCUCUCUGGAAUGUAACUGACGCUGUGGUACGAAAGCGUGGGUAGCAAACAGGAUUAGAAACCCCAGUAGUCC
rnacentral:rRNA from 1 species